UGAUUCGACAGCGGGCUCUCCCAUGGACCAGUCCUGGAGGGCAGUGCCCAGCCGAAGGCCGAGCGGAGCGCAGAGGACCGAGUUAGAAGCGGACAGACGCGGAGGGAUUGGCUUAAGUCGAGGCCUGGCCGCAGGAGUCGGGUUCCGGGCAGAGUCAGAUCUAAGGCUCAUUAGACGCUUUCCCGCAGGCUUUUCCCUGUUUCUUCGACGUUAUGCAACGACGUGAUUCUCCCCCAGAGAAAGUCUGAAGUAUCAAGAAAGCAAAAUCCCACACUGGAAGUUGCUACCAUUUCCAGAGCCUGCCUGCUGCUUCCAGCCUCUUUGAGUUCUUUCAAAUUAAGAUACGGACCCUCAGCAUGAGAAGUCAAUGUGACAGGGAAUAGACCAGCAGCUAAAGGCAGACCUCAAGGAUUUCAGCAAUGUUAAGAACUUGAUAAUGAUAGGAACAAGAAGUGGAAAGUGGCAGGUGACUUGCUAAGAAAUAAUUUUGUCAAAA